rnacentral:tRNA from 1 species
UAAAUAUCUAAAUUUAAGUAUAUCAUUUACAAUGAUAAGAUGUUAUUAAACUUUAUUUAUAUUAAAUUUAUUAAUAUAAUUUUUUUUUUUUGA